GGAGCGGUGGCCGAGUGGUUGAAGGCGGCGGUCUUGAAAACCGUUGUGCGGUAACGUACCGUGGGUUCGAAUCCCACCUGCUCCG
rnacentral:tRNA from 1 species